rnacentral:rRNA from 1 species
UACGGGGGGAGCAAGCGUUGUUCGGAUUUACUGGGCGUAAAGCGCACGUAGGCGGCUUUGUAAGUUAGAGGUGAAAGCCCAGGGCUCAACCCUGGAAUUGCCUUUAAGACUGCAUCGCUUGAACAUCGGAGAGGUAAGUGGAAUUCCGAGUGUAGAGGUGAAAUUCGUAGAUAUUCGGAAGAACACCAGUGGCGAAGGCGACUUACUGGACGAUUGUUGACGCUGAGGUGCGAAAGCGUGGGGAGCAAACAGG